CCUGCCCCUCAAAAUAUUGCAGGUGUGACUGCUGUGUCACAUUGCGUCCGUAGGUGGCAGAGGGGAGAGAGGCUAUGUCUAUGCUUAGUCCUCUGACCUAUGAUGGUCAUAGGUCAAAUUUCCCUGAAAAA
ensembl:snoRNA Gm25168 small nucleolar RNA SNORA17